rnacentral:tRNA from 3 species
GGGUUGUUAGCUCAGUUGGUAGAGCAGCGGACUCUUAAUCCGUUGGUCGAGAGUUCGAGCCUCUCACAACCCACCA